UACGAAGGGGGCUAGCGUUGUUCGGAAUCACUGGGCGUAAAGGGCGCGUAGGCGGCUUUAUAAGUCGGGGGUGAAAGCCUGUGGCUCAACCACAGAAUUGCCUUCGAUACUGUAGAGCUUGAGACCGGAAGAGGUAAGUGGAACUGCGAGUGUAGAGGUGAAAUUCGUAGAUAUUCGCAAGAACACCAGUGGCGAAGGCGGCUUACUGGUCCGGUACUGACGCUGAUGUGCGAAAGCGUGGGGAGCAAACAGG
rnacentral:rRNA from 1 species